UGAGGAAUAUUGGGUCAAUGGUCGCGAGACUGAACCAGCCAAGUAGCGUGCAGGAUGACGGCCCUCUGGGUUGUAAACUGCUUUUAGUUGGGAAUAAAAGGCGGUACGUGUACCGCGUAUUGUAUGUACCAUCAGAAAAGGACCGGCUAAUUCCGUGCCAGCAGCCGCGGUAAUACGGAAGGUCCGGGCGUUAUCCGGAUUUAUUGGGUUUAAAGGGAGCGUAGGCCGGAGAUUAAGCGUGUUGUGAAAUGUAGUGGCUCAACCUCUGCACUGCAGCGCGAACUGGUCUUCUUGAGUACGCACAACGUGGGCGGAAUUCGUGGUGUAGCGGUGAAAUGCUUAGAUAUCACGAAGAACUCCGAUUGCGAAGGCAGCUCACGGGAGCGCAACUG
rnacentral:rRNA from 1 species